rnacentral:misc_RNA from 1 species
CUCUCCGUACCACUAAACAAGCACAGACACACACACACCUACGCAAACACAAGGUAUUCCAUUAGCACUUCGACGGCACAGUCAUCAUCGUCCGUCCCCUUCCCUUUUCUCUCUCUCUCUUUUUCUUCUUCGUGUGCUCGGGACUCAAAAACGCGCAUUUCGCUCGCAUUGAUUUCGCUCUUUGCCUCUUUUUUUUCUCGUUGGGUUUGCUGUUUCGCGUUACCGCUGCGCUCAUCAGCCCACUAAGUUUCGCACACCAACUCUAUUACCCUGUAACUUCCUCUCCUGAUCUCACGCAGCCAUGCCCGCGGAGAGCUACCCGGACGAGCGGCUCGACAGCACGCUUGCGACCUUGACGACCAUCUUCUGCGAGGAGUUCAAAGUCGAGAAUGACGCGGAUGUAGAGUGGCUAGUCUUCACCUUCUCUCCUGGCCGAGUAAACCUGAUUGGUGAGCACGUUGACUAUAUGGAGGGGUGGACUUGCCCGGCGGCGGUGUUGGAGGGCACACACAUCCUUGUUGGGCGCGUGAAGCACUUCCAGAAGGAGGCGAAGCCGAAGGUUCGCUUUUAUGCGACGUACACGAAGGAGCACUUCGACAUGGACCACCUUGGCGGAUGCGUGCACAAUAAGGCGUGGACAACUUUUGUGCGCGGCGCCAUGACGCUGCGACUCAACCGCCUCGGCGUUGCCAUUGAUGACGCGUCCCUGAGUGGGGUGUGCAUGGUAGUGCACGCCACCCUUCCCAUGGGAGCCGGCAUGAGCGCGUCGGCUGCCUUCGGCGUCGCGCUCAUUCACGCUAUCAACUCUGUUGUCACGAGGAGUUACAAGGAUUGCCCCACCUCGAGCGGCCGCCGCUACUCUAUUGUACCGGCGAUGCCUAAGGAAGAGCUGAUGGAGCUGGCCAAGGAAGCGCGCCUUAUCGAGACGGAAUACUGCGGCGUGAAUGUCGGCAUCAUGGAUCAGUUCAUCUCUGCCUUCGCGGAGGUGGACAAGUUUAUGUUCCUGGAUUGCAAGCACCUCACCUUCGAGCCUAUCGACAUGACACCUCUCCUGGGCCACGGCGAGUACUCGUGGAUGCUGAUCGACUCGAUGAUCAAGCACGACCUGCUUGGUGGCACGGCUCAGAUGUAUAACUCGGUUCGCAUCGAUCAGGAGAGCUCGCAGAAGAAGAUCGGUGAGCACCGCUACCGUGGCAGGCCGUACUCCUUCUCCCUGAUGGUGCGCAACCCAGAGCAGUACGGCUUCGACGGUGAUGUGCAAAAGUUCAUGGCGGAGUUCAAGUCUCUCAUGACACCCGGAGAGUUCGAGCGCGGCACCUACCAGAUCAUGGAGCAGCUGCGCACGUUGGAAUUCCGCAAGUUGAACGACCCGACGUUGCCGCUGUCACGCGAAGAGCGCGUCAAAAAAGCCGGCGAAAUUUUGAACGCCGGCCACGUCGGUAUGCGCGAACUCAUGAAGAUCACCACCCCCGAGCUCGACUACAUCCAGGAGCUCAUCAACGAGGACAAGGAUGUCGCCGGUGGUCGUAUGAUGGGUGGUGGCUUUGGCGGCUGCAUCAUUAUGCUGCUUCGCCGCAGCGCUGAGGACCGUGUCUUGGCGCACGUUCGCAAACAUUUCAAGGCCCGCUUCAACAUGGAGAACUCCUGCUACAAGGUGAAGCGCGCCGGCAGCGGCGGUUUUGUCGUUUCCUUGGAGGGAAAGAAGAUGAGUGGUGCUGGCAGCAAGCUCUGAAGCACUGUAUCCUAUGACUGUGAUCCCCCCUGUCACCUGAUGCUCCUCUGUGCAUCUGCGCGUGUCUCGCUGCCGUUAAAAAAAGAUUCGGUGAUCUACGUCUUACAUGUCAUAACUUUUCCGUCUUCUCGCGCAUCGCCUAGCACCGAUGGCAGCGAACAAGAGAGGCGGGAGGCUCGAGAGAGGAUGAAGUCGCCUGUGCACACGCGGCGUGUCUGGCGAGCGCGACAAAAAAAAAGAAAACGGAUACUGCACUUCCGCUCUUUGCACUCUCCCACACGCGUAGGUGGUGAUGGUGGUGGUGGUGGUGGUCCUCGUUGUCGCUGUCGCUUGCUUUGCUCCCUUCCAUGUUCUCUUUUCCUCCUUGAUGUGGUUCAAUUGUGAAAAACGUCCGUUCGCGUUCUCCGUCUGUGGGCUCUUUUUUUUUUGGUUGGCUGGCUGGUUUGCCUAUUUCAAUAUAUAUCUUCAUUGUGUUUUCGUUUUUUCUCUUUUUACCGAGUCUUCCCCUCUCCCCUCCUCGCCUCGAGGGCUCUUCCUUUUUUUUGUUUUGAUCUCCUCUAUCGCCGUCGCCGUGAAAAGCGGGCCACAGCGUUCUCCCUCCCUCCCUCGAGCACUUUUGUAGGUACCUCGUGGUUCCGCACCUGCUUGGGGGUGUGCAAUAAUCUGGAGACGAGGGGCUCUUCACGUGUGCUAGUUAGCGGACGACUACUUUUUUCUCCUUUUUUUUCGGGGAGUGCAGUUGCGACUUGAUCCCUUGUGUCUUGUUCUCGUAUUCAUAUCAACUCGACGGCGCUGCUGUGCCUGACGCGUGAUGUAGCGCAGAGCACCCAUUUCACGUCCUUGCUCUGCAACCGCAAACAAAGAAAAACGUCGUUUCAACAGAGAACUCAUUCCCUCCUUCUCCUUUCGCCAGUAAACGCAGAGAAAUAAAAGACAGGAACAGAAAACGUUUUCAUUAUUAGUUUCUAUGCUUUAUCAUGUAUGUUUGAUGCUCAAGGUCGUUUCCUUGCUCGUCUAGCUCACCGGCUCUCCAUCUCCGCUGCAUAUCGCCGCGCUUCCGCUUUUUGUUUUUUUUUGUCGUUCUUUUAUUUUUCUCUUUGUUGUUCCGAUUUUUUUUCUUCAGCCAGUGAUAAUGGUUCCACAAAACAAAUGAACGAGUUUACGGCCAUGACGUGUCAGAUGCUUCCCGCCCCGCCCGUCCGCUCCCCUUUUCCUUGUUUUCGAGCAUCUCUUCGACAUGAAAAGUAUGCGGCUUGGUUGAAGCGAAGAUAGGUGGGUAAGAGAAGCGUGCCGUGAGUGCGUGGACACGUUCGAGUUUGCGUGAGGUGCCUUCACUUUCGUAGCUCCGCUCUGUGGGCUGUGUGCAUAGUGGUUGGCUCUCCAUGUCCCCACUCGUCCCUUGGUGUCUAUUCUUUGCUGAGACUCCACCGCCAAGAUAGACGGGAGUUUUGCGCGCUUUCCCACUCAAAAGCCCUUCGGCUCGUUUUUCUUUGACUCUCUUUUGUCGGAUAUCGUUUCGUCCAUGACUCGUUUCGCUCUCUCUUUUUUCGUCUGCGCCGCAGCACCUCAAGCAAUGCCCCCCCCCCUCCCACACACACAGCCUUUUUUCCCAUCCGUUAUUGACAUGGCCUUCAGCUUUCUCGAUAGCGCGGAUUCUUCCAUCUGUUUCACCUGAAGUCGAUUUCGUCUUCUCAUGCGUGUUACGUGUCUCCUAGUGGGGUGCAUCUUGGUGGGUAAGAUGGCGCCAGUUCGGUUGAAUAUGUGCGUGCGCCGUGGUGCUUGACGCUGUCAUCGCUUCAUUCCUUCUCUUUAUUGCGUGACGAACACUCCCCCCGGCACGGUAACC